GUCGAACGAGUUCUGAUUAUUGAAAGGUGCUUGCAUCUUGAUUUAAUUUUGAACGAGUGGCGGACGGGUGAGUAACACGUGGGUAACCUGCCCUUAAGUGGGGGAUAACAUUUGGAAACAGAUGCUAAUACCGCAUAAAUCCAAGAACCGCAUGGUUCUUGGCUGAAAGAUGGCGUAAGCUAUCGCUUUUGGAUGGACCCGCGGCGUAUUAGCUAGUUGGUGAGGUAACGGCUCACCAAGGCAAUGAUACGUAGCCGAACUGAGAGGUUGAUCGGCCACAUUGGGACUGAGACACGGCCCAAACUCCUACGGGAGGCAGCAGUAGGGAAUCUUCCACAAUGGACGCAAGUCUGAUGGAGCAACGCCGCGUGAGUGAAGAAGGCUUUCGGGUCGUAAAACUCUGUUGUUGGAGAAGAAUGGUCGGCAGAAUAACUGUUGUCGGCGUGACGGUAUCCAACCAGAAAGCCACGGCUAACUACGUGCCAGCAGCCGCGGUAAUACGUAGGUGGCAAGCGUUAUCCGGAUUUAUUGGGCGUAAAGCGAGCGCAGGCGGUUUUUUAAGUCUGAUGUGAAAGCCCUCGGCUUAACCGAGGAAGUGCAUCGGAAACUGGGAAACUUGAGUGCAGAAGAGGACAGUGGAACUCCAUGUGUAGCGGUGAAAUGCGUAGAUAUAUGGAAGAACACCAGUGGCGAAGGCGGCUGUCUGGUCUGUAACUGACGCUGAGGCUCGAAAGCAUGGGUAGCGAACAGGAUUAGAUACCCUGGUAGUCCAUGCCGUAAACGAUGAAUGCUAGGUGUUGGAGGGUUUCCGCCCUUCAGUGCCGCAGCUAACGCAUUAAGCAUUCCG
rnacentral:rRNA from 2 species